AGAGUUUGAUCCUGGCUCAGAACGAACGCUGGCGGCGUGGAUAAGACAUGCAAGUCGAACGCUGGCAUUCAGGUAGCAAUAUUUGGAUGUCGGAGUGGCGCAAGGGUGCGUAACACGUGGGUAAUUUGCCGUAAAGUCUGGGAUAACUUGCUGAAAGGCGAGCUAAUACCGGAUGUGAAUUCUUGGAGGCAUCUUCGGGAAUUCAAAGUUGGGGACCGCAAGGCCUGACGCUUUACGAUAAGCCCGCGGCCUAUCAGCUAGUUGGUGAGGUAACGGCUCACCAAGGCUAAGACGGGUAGCUGGUCUGAGAGGACGACCAGCCUCACUGGAACUGAGACACGGUCCAGACACCUACGGGUGGCAGCAGUCGAGAAUUUUUCUCAAUGGGCGAAAGCCUGAAGGAGCGACGCCGCGUGGGGGAUGAAUGGCUUCGGCCCGUAAACCCCUGUCAUUUGUGAACAAAUUGCUUCACCUAACACGUGAAGCAUUGAUUGUAACGGAAGAGGAAGGGACGGCUAACUCUGUGCCAGCAGCCGCGGUAAUACAGAGGUCCCAAGCGUUGUUCGGAUUCACUGGGCGUAAAGGGUGCGUAGGCGGUUUGAUAAGUCUGAUGUGAAAUCCCGCAGCUUAACUGCGGAACUGCAUUGGAAACUAUUUGACUAGAGGAAUGGAGGGGAGACUGGAAUACUUGGUGUAGCAGUGAAAUGCGUAGAUAUCAAGUGGAACACCAGUGGCGAAGGCGAGUCUCUGGACAUUUCCUGACGCUGAGGCACGAAAGCCAGGGGAGCAAACGGGAUUAGAUACCCUAGUAGUCC
rnacentral:rRNA from 1 species